UGCUCAUCCCGGUUAAGUGGAAACAUACUGAGGUCCCCACGAUCAGGGAAUGGGUAGCAAGAGUAGAGUCAAUCAGAACUAUGGAAGAGAUCCACGCAUCCAUCUCCCACAACUAUACACUUUUUAGGGACACAUGGACGCCAUGGGUGAGAUUCGUGACCGGCAAUAUAACCUGAUUACCGGUGGAUCACACUCCUCCCUACUGGGUUACCUUUCCGGAUGAGUCGACUGCUGUGUUGAUUGGCAGUACGACACGUCCCUCUCACAAUACCACCUGAGGUGAUCAGAACAAGACACAGGACCCACGGCUCAGUUCACUUAGGUAGUCCUCACUCCGCCGCCCGCUAGACGCGCACACAACAACCCACAAUUGCCGCCAUGUAGGGCCGUUUCUGGCCUAGCUAAGACAGUGGCACAAAACAGGUAGGCGGGAGCUGACAACAUUGAUUCCCCACUUAACACCCAUGACAACGACCUGGACUUCUGGCCCACAACCCAAUAUGGAUCCUAGUAAAUGGAAACACCCGAUCUCAAUACAAACCCGAACCUCAGCCUUAGUAAGUGUACCCGUCUUAGAUGCAUUAAUGAAUACUGUAUAAAUUGUAUAACUUUGACAAACCCUAUUGAUAUGUAUUAUUUAUCUGUCCGAAUAUGUACUUAUAC